rnacentral:rRNA from 1 species
AAUGGGUCAGCGACUUAUAUUCUGUAGCAAGGUUAACCGAAUAGGGGAGCCGAAGGGAAACCGAGUCUUAACUGGGCGUUAAGUUGCAGGGUAUAGACCCGAAACCCGGUGAUCUAGCCAUGGGCAGGUUGAAGGUUGGGUAACACUAACUGGAGGACCGAACCGACUAAUGUUGAAAAAUUAGCGGAUGACUUGUGGCUGGGGGUGAAAGGCCAAUCAAACCGGGAGAUAGCUGGUUCUCCCCGAAAGCUAUUUAGGUAGCGCCUCGUGAAUUCAUCUCCGGGGGUAGAGCACUGUUUCGGCAAGGGGGUCAUCCCGACUUACCAACCCGAUGCAAACUGCGAAUACCGGAGAAUGUUAUCACGGGAGACACACGGCGGGUGCUAACGUCCGUCGUGAAGAGGGAAACAACCCAGACCGCCAGCUAAGGUCCCAAAGUCAUGGUUAAGUGGGAAACGAUGUGGGAAGGCCCAGACAGCCAGGAUGUUGGCUUAGAAGCAGCCAUCAUUUAAAGAAAGCGUAAUAGCUCACUGGUCGAGUCGGCCUGCGCGGAAGAUGUAACGGGGCUAAACCAUGCACCGAAGCUGCGGCAGCGACGCUUAUGCGUUG